GAUGUACUCCCCCCGUUCGGAAUUACUCGUCCAAAAAAUGAAUGUAUCUAGAUGUAUUUUAGUUGUAGAUACAUUUAUUUUUAUGACAAGUAAUUCCGAACGGAGGGAGUAUAUA
rnacentral:pre_miRNA from 1 species